AUGUGUGACCAUUUUGGGUCAGUAAACUGUGUGAGAUGGGCCAAGAAUGGACGCUAUCUUGCUUCGGGAUCGGACGAUCAAGCUAUCCUAAUUCAUGAAAGGAAAGCUGGUUCCAGUACAUCUGAGUUUGGAACUGGAGAGCCGGCAGAUAUAGGAAAUUGGAAGGUCGUUAUGAUCUUAAGGGGGCAUACUGCGAACGUGGUAAUUAUCUUCCAAAGUUUUAGUCUGGCUGUUUUUCUUUCCAAUUUUUGGAAACACGAUCAGAACUUGACUUGUUACCUGCAAUCCUUAGGUCUUUCCUAUUAA
rnacentral:rRNA from 1 species